GCUAUCUAUUAUUUGAUAAGCGUACGGCGGACCGUGGCUUAAGUCAUGCAGUGGACAUUUUGUACUGUGAUUUUAACUGAUAAUUGAUAAAAAAAAAGAAGAUAUUAGAUUAUUCAAAACUUUAGUUUAACCACUUUAACCGACAAAAUAUUCUGUGCUUUAACCGUGCGCUGUCACCACUCACCAAUAUCACGAUCUAUUGUUAAUCGCAAUUCGCAAUAGCCAUAGCUUGUUGAUAUUUGAGAGUAUGUACUAUGUAUUAACGCUGAAGUAAUACUGGCUAGAACCACUUCAAGAUGCAAGUCAUUCAAAAUCAAAAUAUUCUAAAAAAUUAAAAAUUAUUGGAAUUGAUCUAUAUGGUUGUAAGAAUUGUCUUUGAGCUGCCAAUGCAAGUGAAUGAAUAUAAAACCAAUAAGA